GUCCCUGUCGAUUAGUGGUUAAAUCAUCACGUUGUGGCGCAAUGCGAUUCCGUGAAGCCGGGAGCUCGAAUCUCCCCAGGGACA